rnacentral:rRNA from 1 species
GAUGAACGCUAGCGGCAGGCUUAACACAUGCAAGUCAAGGGGUAGAGUUAGCUUGCUAACUUGAGACCGGCGCACGGGUGCGUAACGCGUAUGCAAUCUACCUUGUACAGAGGGAUAGCCCAGAGAAAUUUGGAUUAAUACCUCAUAGUAUUAUUGAAUGGCAUCAUUUGAUUAUUAAAGUUCCAACGGUACAAGAUGAGCAUGCGUCCCAUUAGCUAGAUGGUAAGGUAACGGCUUACCAUGGCAACGAUGGGUAGGGGUCCUGAGAGGGAGAUCCCCCACACUGGUACUGAGGCACGGACCAGACUCCUACGGGAGGCAGCAGUGAGGAAUAUUGGUCAAUGGGCGCAAGCCUGAACCAGCCAUGCCGCGUGCAGGAAGACGGUCCUAUGGAUUGUAAACUGCUUUUAUACGGGAAGAAACCCUGCUACGUGUAGCAGCUUGACGGUACCGUAAGAAUAAGCAUCGGCUAACUCCGUGCCAGCAGCCGCAGUAA